rnacentral:lncRNA from 1 species
GUGUUCUAAGGUUUUACUACUUUAGGUCAGUAUAGAUAGGUUUCUACAAGUAAUAAGGAGGGAAAACAUUUGGGAAGUAAGUCUCUUUAUGGUGACACACAGAUAACACCUGAUGAAUUUUGAAGAAAGAGAAGACCUACACAUGGCAGAAAUGGAGAUCAAUGUAUUCUAGGAUUGAGAGAUGGUAUAUGUGUAUAGAGGCAGAUGUGCUGAAAAUAUCCCUUCUCUGCUACAACUAACUUCAACUCUGUUCCUCAGAGGUGUCAUAGAAAGCAACUGACACCACUUCCUGGAAUUCCUUUUCCUUCUUAACUAAAUUGAUAAUUAAUAAAUAUCCUCCAAGGCUUGACCA